rnacentral:rRNA from 2 species
GGUGCCUUCGGGAACUCUGAGACAGGUGCUGCAUGGCUGUCGUCAGCUCGUGUUGUGAAAUGUUGGGUUAAGUCCCGCAACGAGCGCAACCCUUAUCCUUUGUUGCCAGCGAUUCGGUCGGGAACUCAAAGGAGACUGCCAGUGAUAAACUGGAGGAAGGUGGGGAUGACGUCAAGUCAUCAUGGCCCUUACGAGUAGGGCUACACACGUGCUACAAUGGCAUAUACAA